rnacentral:rRNA from 1 species
CCUACGGGAGGCAGCAGUAGGGAAUAUUCGUCAAUGGGCGCAAGCCUGAACGAGCAAUGCCGCGUGAACGAGGAAGGUCUUCGGAUCGUAAAGUUCUGUUGACGGGGAAGAAGAGCGGAGAGUGGAUAUGAACUCCGACUGAUAUUACCCUUCGAGGACGUCACGGCUAACUACGUGCAAGCACCCGCGGUAAUGCGUAGGUGGCGAGCGUGGUCGGGAAUGCUGGGGGGUAAGGGGUGCGUAGGCGGCAGGCAAAGACCGGGGUUAAGGGUGCGGCCCCAACCGGUAUAGGCUGUGGAAACUGGGGGGCUAGAGAGCAGGAGAGGGAGGCGGAACGCCAGGUGUAGCGGUAAAAUGCGUAGAUAUAAGGAAGAACACCAGUGGCGAAGGCGGCCGCCUGGCCUGCAACUGACGCUGAGGCACGAAAGCGUGGGGAGCAAAUAGGAUUAGAUACCCCAGUAGUC